rnacentral:misc_RNA from 1 species
AACGCACGAGACCUGCGGACCUGCGGAAGGAUCAUUAAUGAGAAGCUGCCCCUCGUGGGUAGACCUCCCACCCUCUGUGAACUUACCUUUGUUGCUUUGGCAGGCCCGUCCUCUGGACCGCCGGCUUCGGCUGGCCCGUGCCUGCCAGAGGACUCCAAACCCUGUCUGUCAGUGUUGUCUGAGUCUAUAUGAAAUCGUUAAAACUUUCAACAACGGAUCUCUAGAUCGGAAGAGCACACG